rnacentral:rRNA from 1 species
CCUACGGGCGGCAGCAGUGGGGAAUAUUGCACAAUGGGCGCAAGCCUGAUGCAGCCAUGCCGCGUGUAUGAAGAAGGCCUUCGGGUUGUAAGGUACUUUCAGCGGGGAGGAAGGCGAUAAGGUUAAUAACCUUGUCGAUUGACGUUACCCGCAGAAGAAGCACCGGCUAACUCCGUGCCAGCAGCCGCGGUAAUACGGAGGGUGCAAGCGUUAAUCGGAAUUACUGGGCGUAAGGCGCACGCAGGCGGUCUGUCAAGUCGGAUGUGAAAUCCCCGGGCUCAACCUGGGAACUGCAUUCGAAACUGGCAGGCUGGAGUCUCGUAGAGGGGGGUAGAAUUCCAGGUGUAGCGGUGAAAUGCGUAGAGAUCUGGAGGAAUACCGGUGGCGAAGGCGGCCCCCUGGACGAAGACUGACGCUCAGGUGCGAAAGCGUGGGGAGCAAACAGGAUUAGAUACCCGCGUAGUC